rnacentral:rRNA from 1 species
UGGGGAAUUUUGGGCAAUGGGCGAAAGCCUGACCCAGCAACGCCGCGUGAAGGAUGAAGUAUUUCGGUAUGUAAACUUCGAAAGAAUAGGAAGAAUAAAUGACGGUACUAUUUAUAAGGUCCGGCUAACUACGUGCCAGCAGCCGCGGUAAUACGUAGGGACCAAGCGUUGUUCGGAUUUACUGGGCGUAAAGGGCGCGUAGGCGGCAAUUCAAGUCAUCUGUGAAAUCUCCGGGCUUAACUCGGAACGGUCAGAUGAUACUGCUUUGCUAGAGUGCAGAAGGGGCAAUCGGAAUUCUUGGUGUAGCGGUGAAAUGCGUAGAUAUCAAGAGGAACACCUGAGGUGAAGACGGGUUGCUGGGCUGACACUGACGCUGAGGCGCGAAAGCCAGGGGAGCAAACGGGAUUAGAUACCCUGGUAGUCCUGAGCGGGCUGGCAAGGCGCAU